rnacentral:rRNA from 1 species
GAAAGGGGUGACGGCGUACCUUUUGUAUAAUGGGUCAGCGACUUACGUUCAGUAGCAAGCUUAACCGAAUAGGGCAGGCGUAGCGAAAGCGAGUCCGAAUAGGGCGUUCAGUUGCUGGGCGUAGACCCGAAACCAGGUGAUCUAUCCAUGGCCAGGAUGAAGGUGCGGUAACACGUACUGGAGGUCCGAACCCACUAACGUUGAAAAGUUAGGGGAUGAGCUGUGGAUAGGGGUGAAAGGCUAAACAAACCUGGAAAUAGCUGGUUCUCUCCGAAAACUAUUUAGGUAGUGCCUCGUGUCUCACCUUCGGGGGUAGAGCACUGUCAUGGUUGGGGGGUCUAUUGCAGAUUACCCCGCCAUAGCAAACUCCGAAUACCGAAGAGUGCAAUCACGGGAGACAGACAUCGGGUGCUAACGUCCGGUGUCAAGAGGGAAACAACCCAGACCGCCAGCUAAGGUCCCCAAAUAUGGCUAAGUGGGAAACGAAGUGGGAAGGCUAAAACAGUCAGGAGGUUGGCUUAGAAGCAGCCACCCUUUAAAGAAAGCGUAAUAGCUCACUGAUCGAGUCGUCCUGCGCGGAAGAUGUAACGGGGCUAAGCCAUAUACCGAAGCUGCGGAUGCGUGCUUGCACGCAUGGUAGGAGAGCGUUCCGUAAGCCUGCGAAGGUGCCUUGUAAAGGGUGCUGGAGGUAUCGGAAGUGCGAAUGCUGACAUGAGUAGCGAUAAAGGGGGUGAAAGGCCCCCUCGCCGUAAGCCCAAGGUUUCCUACGCAACGUUCAUCGGCGUAGGGUGAGUCGGCCCCUAAGGCGAGGCAGAAAUGCGUAGCUGAUGGGAAGCAGGUCAAUAUUCCUGCACCAUUGUUAGAUGCGAUGGGGGGACGGAUCGCGGAAGGU